GACAGAGGUGCCGAGCGUUAGGCGGAAUCACUGGGCUUAAAGCGUGUGUAGGCGGAUCGUUAAGUACCUUGUGAAAUCCCACGGCUCAACCGUGGAACUGCUGGGUAUACUGGCGGUCUUGAGCCACCUAGGGGCGAGCGGAACAAGCGGUGGAGCGGUGAAAUGCGUAGAUAUCGCUUGGAACGCCAACGGUGAAAACAGCUCGCUGGGGGGUGUGCUGACGCUGAGACACGAAAGCCAGGGGAGCGAACGGG
rnacentral:rRNA from 1 species